CUGGGCUCUGGGGAUGGAAAUGGAGAGGAGCGAAAAAGAGCCUGGAGAAAAGGCUGUCAUAUUUGCUCAGAAGAACCGCCAAAUCAGAGAGCACAGAAGAUUUCAUUGGAGGAGCGCCUUCAACAGCAACUAAUCCUGUCAUACUGAAAGAAAAUUGUAAAUGUUCUCUCCAGAAAUUGUCCGCCCAUUGCAGCUAAUCGAACACACACGCACGAAUACAGACACGCUCUCCUGCUGUACUAAAGGCGCCCGGGCGCAAAGACCUAGGGAGCGCGCGCGGGCACACACACACACACACACACACAGACACACACACACUCACACACUCCAGGCUGCGGGUUGGCCAGAGCCUGGAAAUCGCAGAUUUCACCAGGAAAUCGCCGAGGUACCCGAAUAGGUGUUGCCUCCCAAAACUAAUUCCUACUUCCCCAAGCACUUUGGUGAAGAAAUGAAUCCAGCCCAGCUCGCCGAGGCAUCCAGGUCUCCAUUCUAUUUUGGUCUCCAGGCUCUUCGUGAAAGCCAGAUCAAGGGAGAAAGAGAACCGGCAGCUGGCCUCGGACUCUAAGCGGUGCGCAGCUCCAGCCCGAGCGGAUCGGCCCUGAACCCACAAAGGACUCCUCGCUCCUUCAAGCCUCCACCACCUCGCAGCCGGGGAGGCAACUGGAGCGAAACCAGCGACAGAUCAUAUAUAUCUUCAUGAUUCCAGAGCUCCUCUCUGCAUUCUUCUAUCUGGUGUUCUGUGUAGAUUCUUAUUACUAAUGUAGCUGGAUCAAGCACCUGGACUUCUUCCUCUUUUUCUCUCCCAACUCUAGUGGAGGAGUUAGAGAAAGUGAGAGAAUUGUCUUAAAUGUUAAUGCUGAUACAUUUCACUGUCGUUGUUGCAAAAUGUUGUUGCAUUCUGAUGAUCCCAAGUAACAGGCGGGUACGAUACCUCCUCUAGGAAUAAGAAAGUUAUAAUGACUUUUCUUGAUGUUAUUGUUCACCCUUAGUCAUGCUGAUGAUUCUUCUGUUUGAAUAAAGCAAAUAAGCUGUUCUUCACCUCCUCAUUCAUGCCAAGCCAAUAAACAAGACAGAAUCAUGUUGGAAAACAAGCUUCUUAUUUCUUAUUUAAUUAACUACCAAGGAACUCUUUAGGAGGAAUGUGAUCGUGAGCUAAAUAAUUACCUGAAGCCUAAUUUUUCUUCCUUUCUAUAAAAGAUAAGCACAGAAUAAUUUGAUUGGUAGAGGAAAAAAAUACAUUUCACAACCAGUUUUACAUUGUUGAACACGAUGAAGAUUUUCUAAUACUCUGCCUUCCUUGGUACUGUUACAAAGGGAAGUGCUUCUACCAUAACCAGCAUGAAAAUAGAAAGUGAUAAGAAAAUUCUACUUAAUUGUGUUCUUUGGAGAGCAUCAGGGCAUUUGGUUUCAUUUUAGGGAGGAGAUAAAGAGCAGCCCCAGGGCCAAAGCAUGUUUCCCAGAUAUGCCCACUGUUUUCUUGCUUUAUCCUCAAAAUUACUUUUCUAUGAGAUUUUAUCAGUGGAGUAGGCAGUUAUGUCUUCGCAUGUAAGCCUAAAUAAUAAAGACUUUAUUUUUCUUUGUGCUAUGCUGGAUGGAGGUACUGAAGGCAGGAGGAAGGGUAGAUGAUAUAGGUUUAAUUUCUAUUCUCUCUGGCAACUGGGUAUCAUUCAACAGUAAACAAGCAAUCUCAGUUUUGCUUUAUUUUAAAAUAAGCCUGACUGGAUAUUUUCCAUGACUAGUUAUAUCCUUAUCAGGGGAAAUUUCAGAAUUUGGGGUGAGAUACUCUUCUGUGACAAUAAUAAUGGCAACAAAACCCACGAAAAGACAGCUGCUGUUUUUGAGUGUUUACCAAAUUUUAGAACCUAUGCCAUUUCUUUACAUGUAUUGUUUCUAUACCUCAUGCCCACCCGAUGUGGUAAAUUUAUUCCUUUUUCUUUCUAAAUCUUGAAACCUUGGCUUGUUGACACUAAACAACUUAUUCCAGGUCUAAGAGUGAGUAUGUGGCUCAGCAUUAUUUCCACAUCUAAGGUCAAGGAUCAGUUUUUAAUGUUUUUUGUUUUGGUUUACUAUACCACAAGCAGUUCUUUCAGAGGAUGUCUCACUAUAUUAUUUGGCAUCUAAUUCUGAUAAGGCUAAGGAAAAAGAGAGAGAGAAGAAAAAGAAAUAGAAGCAAGUCUCACUUCUAGUCAGUGUUCAGAAAAUGAAGUCAUGAAAACAGACUUCAUGGUAAAGGAAUCAGUCUUAGGUGAAGUUUAGAAUCCGUCUCCUGGCAACUAACCUCCUGGCUUAGCAUAAUUUGAAUUUAAAAGUGCUUGAGCCUUCCUAGUUCCCUGGGAGCUCUUUCUAGGCACAGAGGUGGAAAAAGUCUCAGCAAGGCUUUCAGGUAUGAAAUUUCCAAGGCAUACAAUAUUUAUUGAUGUUUAUAUAACAUAUAUAUGUUGCAACAUUUCUGUUGAUUAGGAGCACAUUAAGUAUCAGUAAAAUGUCAUUAUUUGAUCUCCUUCUAUUUCAUACUGUUAUAUCUAUUUCCUUCCUCUGCAAAACAAUUGCCAUUACUUAACCUUAACUUCUGCAUUGCAGAUGCACAAACAAAAGGCCAAAGAGGCUAGAUGUCCUAAGGGAUAAACCUGCUUGGAAUAAUUCUGUUCCUGUUUACAUGUCCAUUGUUAACUAACCAUUUAUUUGCAUGCCCCCAUAUCUUCUGGAAAUCAUGACUGUCUAUUGGUAAAUGAUAAUACCAGCUAAUUUCUUUUUCACAAUUAAUUGAAAUUUUACACUCUUACAUUUCAAUAUCCAUCAAUAUUUUUACAUACUGACACUUUUAAUCAAGGAUUAUCUUUCACAAGGGAGCUGUAACAGGGCCCUAAUUAAUUAAAGUGAUAAUUACUCCUCUCCCUCGCAGUUUGUUAGUUACAUAACACAUUCUCCAGGAAAUUCACAUCCUUAGCAUUCCUCUUUAAAUUUCUCUCAUUUAUAAGGAGAUACCUUGGCUUCUAUCUCUGUAAGAAUUUACUGAAAACUCAAAUAAAUUUAUCAUCUAGCAUUACGAAAGAAAGGUGGCCAUCUUUAUUUUUUAGCAAGUUUUCAGAUUCAAACCAAAUAAAAUGAGAUUUUCCUAUCAUUGAAAUGUUCAGUUUGAACCGCAGGGGUCGUUUUCAUGGAAAAAAACAAGAUUGUCAAAUGACUUCCCUUUGCUAUUCACCAGCUUAUUCUAGCUUCUUCAUCACAGUGCAAGUUCCCGUGGUCCAUUCCUCUUGGAUCUUUUUUUUUUUUCCACUUCCAUUCCUCAGCUACAAUUGCUCUUGCCUCUCUGUAGUUUAUCUUAGUGCGUAAGGUUUGUUACAUUAUCUGGUCCGGUUUAAUUCCGUUAUUUGAGUAGAUAUGGGAUCUAGAGUAUUGGCAAUUAUUGGCAGCCUUGCUCUUUUCUCCUUUAAUAGCUAUUGCCCCUGUUCCUAUAUUUUGGCAUCUCUUGGUGUCUGAGAUGCACUUUCAGAAAUAAUUGCUGGUGACUCUAAAUUCAUUCAGUUUAUCCCCUAAGACUUGGGAAUCCAGAUCAUUGAAAUCCCUGCACCAAAUAUUAGUCAGACUUGCUAAAGGUCAUUCCUGUUUGGUUUGCAUAUUUUAAUUAUAUUAGUGUGACUUACUCAUUUCACUUGCAGUAAACAUUUGACUACAUUUUAAAAUUAUUAUGUCUCCCAAAUUCCUGAGUGUUCUUACUUUACUUUUCUAAUACAUGUGAAAAUGAAAUUUGAUACUGAGGUCAGUUAUCUAAAAUUCAAUUAGCUUUUUUUCUGUUACUAUAUAUAAUUAUUGAAAGAACUUUUUUCUUGCUGCAAUAGUUUUUUUAAUAGACUUUAUUUAUUAGGCCAGUUUUAAUUUCACAGCAAAAUUGAGAAGAACUGUUUCCACAAACCUUUUGGCCCCACACACACCUACUCCCUUCCACUAUCAACCUCCCCCACCAGGGUGAUACAUUUGUUUCAACUGAUGAACUACAUUGACACAUCAGUAUCACCAGAGCCCAUAGUUUACAUUAGGGUUCCUGCUUGGUGUUUUGCAUUCCCUGAUGUCCUAAGGGAUAUCCUAAGUGUAGUACUUCUCCUUCCCCUUUUGAGUAAGGCUAAGGCUAUUGCAUGGCAAAUUAUCCAGAAUGUUACUUAGUUUCAUGAGGUACAUUAUUCUUCAUCUUUGUUCAUUUAUCUUUUACAUAGGGUCAAGUAAAGUGUAUAAUGAAAUUAUACACUUUGGACAAGUGUAUAAUGGUGUGUAGAUGCCACUGUAUGCAUGUAGCGUCAUACGAAGUAUUUCCACUGCCCUAAAAAGCCUCUGUGCCCCUUCCAUCUAGUACCCUCUUUACCUUAACUCCUGACAACCACUGAUUUUUUUACUGUCACUAUAGUUUGCCUUUACGGACUGUCAUGUAAUGGAAAUCAUACAGUAUGUAGUUUUUUAGAAUGACUUCUUUCACUUAGUAACAACUUUCUUUCACCUGGUGUGUAAAUUCAAAUCAUUUCAGGUUCCUCCAUGUCUUUUCAUGGCUUGAUAGUUCCCUUCUUUUUAGCACUGAAUGACAGUCCAUUGCAUUCAUUUUUCUUUGGGAUUUUCAUUAAAUCAGUAAAUGUUUUGUCAUGCUCCUUGAAGAUAAAUUUUAGCCAGGCAUUAGAGAAAUAUUUUAUCUUUUUGCCAUUAUAUUAUUUUAUUCUUGUUCUGUAUUUUCUCUAAUCUUACAUUUCCAUAUUCUUAAGCUCUAGAACUUUCUAAAACUGGUCACAGAACUCUUGCUCUGAAUAUUUUAAUUCUCUUUUUCAUCUUCCUUUUACCCACCAUAUCCCUAUUUCAGUACUUAGAAAAGAGCAUUGUUUCUUAGCAUCUUGUAGUUUUUAUUUAACUGUCUUUACUGUCCUGUGAUUAUAUCUUUUACAUGAUUUUUUAAAUUCAGACAACAAAAAUCUUUCACUUCUCUCUGUUGAAAGAUUUAAGUGGUUUGUUUACCAAGUUUGGACAAGUCUUCCAUUUCUCUGAGUGUGUAAAUUCAAGAAGAGGAGAGGAAAAAGUAUCACAGGGCUGUUUACUUUCCACUUCUCUUUCUCACAUCAUCUUCCAAUCUUCAGCAGCCAUGGCCAUGACGAAGCUAAGUUAAAAAACUGAAAACCUAGUUGAAAGACCAUUUUAUACAAGACCAUACUGACCCCUAAAUAACCUUUAAAUGAAACACCAUAAAUCUUUUUUGUUUUACCAAUAGCAGACAGAGUAUUCUUGUUCCUAUUUGAGAAGUAAGGGAAGUCCUAAGAGGUUAUUUAGUACUCCUCUGAGGUGUUUUCUCUAUCCUCUGCCUUUAGGAAACUGAUACUGUUUGAAUAUUGGUCUAGUCCCUCCAGCUAUUUAGACACCGGCUUUACACACGGAAGCUAAUGGAACCCACUUAUUUAACUUGACAAUUUAACCUCUUCACAUGGACCUACUCUUUUUCUUACACUCAUACCUUAUAUUCAACUCCUUUAUACAACGAAAUUCUUUUGAUAUUCUCCGGUUUCAUUAAAAGAAACCUGCUCCCUAAGGAUGGGACUUGUAUUCCCUCCUUUCCUCCUCCUCCCCUUUCUCCUCCUCCCCCUCUUCACCUUCCUUCUCCUCUUCCUUUCUCCUCCUCCUUCCCCCUCCUUCUUCUCAGCAUUUAAUUUGAUGCCUGCCUCUAUUCUUGGCACAUAGCAGAGCUCAAUAAAUGUUUAUUUAAUGAUACUUUAUGCUAGUAGUCUGCUAAGAGUUCCAAGUUUCCUACUACCCCAAUCUGCUUCUUCUGUUGGUUUCAUAAUACCAAGUUAUUCUUUUCUGAAAUAGCUCAAAGAAACUCUUUCUAGGUAAAAUUUUUCUUUGAAAAUAAAACUUCCUUUCUGAUAAAUGUUUCCACUUUCGAAACCAAUAUUUUAUCUAAGCCUGAGCAAAAUUUCCUCUAGGCCAUGCUUAUAGGUAUAUAGUAAUAUUAUUUUGUUUAAGCUGAAUCUAAUUAAUCUGAAACACAUGAACUUUUAAAGAGACCAGACUUUUUUGUUUAUGCAUAUUAUAUAUGUUAAAAGAAAUUUUAGCCAGCUAAACAUUGCAUAUGAUUUAAACAGUAUAUUUUUUUCCAUAUUAGGGAUGGAUUUAGUACAGUUUCCUCUUUUUACUUGACCCAAUGUAAAAGAUAAAUGAACAAAGAUGAAGAAUAAUAUACCUCAUGAAACUAAGUAACAUUCUGGAUAAUUUGCCAUGCAAUAGCCUUAGCCUUACUCAAAAGAGGAAGGAGAAGUACUACACUUAGGUGCCCACUUUCAUCUGCUCUCUUAGGUAGGGCUUAGCGUUCCCUCCUAAUAGCACUACUUCCGCCUUAACAGUUACAGUGGACCUAAGCUCCCUAGCAGUGGGGAUCUUCCACUUGUCUUUACCACCUUCUAGGGAGCUAAGAAAGAGAAGGUUUUGGCAUCUUUCCCUGUCUUCAGCCUCCGGUGUCUCCCAAAGGGUACUUACAGUUUCAGGCAGUACAAAGUAGUGGAUAAGUAUAUUCAGUUUGGAGACAGUUGUGUCAUUGUUAGUUUACCCUUAAUAUCUUCACCUUCAUGAAUUUAAAGAUUUAGUGGGGUGUCCAACAUCAUCUAGUCUGAUGCCUUUAUUUUAUAGUGAGGAGACUUACUAAGGGUAAAAACAGUCGUAGCUUAUUAUGUGGGUGACAGUGAUCAGAGGUGAUAGAAACAAGAUUUUGAGUCUGAACACCUUGACAACCCAUUAUCAGUUUCAUCACCCUACAAUGAAUACUUCUAUGGAAGGUUCCACAUGAUUAUUUUCAAUCUUAGACUUUUAUUCCUUCUAAGAAAGAUAUGAGGCUAUAAAAACUCUUUGUUAUUCUUUCUGGUUUGUGUGGGACUUUUGAUUCUGUUUUUCACCUCUCCUCUUCUGUUUCCCUGAUGUUUUACAAAGGGAUCUUACAAUUUAGUGGUAAGAUUUUGUUGGAAAGGCUGGAUUCAAACAUGAACGACUGUCAAAACUUUAAUGACAGGUAUGAAAUGACGCCAACCUAUCAGAACAUGUGUUGGCCAUUGUAUUGUUCUUUGGGUCCCUGCUGAGAAUCAGUCCUGGUUCAAUGAGUUACUCUAAUCUUGAAAGCAUCUACUUUCUUGCUUUCCAGAUAUUCUGGAAAUAUAAUCUAGUCAUUUUUCCUACUGAAUUGCCUGUAAAUGAUUACGGUUUUCAUUAAUCAUUGCAGUAUCUACUUGGAGUAAUGUAUUUUUAAAAAAUAAUGUUGAUGCUCAUAAAAAUAUAUCAACUUAAUCUUGCAACUUUACAUGAUUGAGAAUAAUUGAAAACUAAUUACACAAUGAGUUUGUUCCCUGGAGAUGUAUGACAACUUCAAAAGCUGAAGAAAGUAUGAUGGAUGAACUCUUUUAUAAAACGACAUCAAAAUCUGCUUCUUUCUUUUGCUUCCCCAAUUCAUAAGGUCAUUAGGAAACUGUUGUCACGUUGAGUGCCAAAUUUGCAAAAAUUGUCGGUGCAAUGUCUUUAGAGUAAGAAAAAAAGACAAAUUAGAAAGCUGUAUUUUGAUGUCAUCUCUCCUAAUUCUGUCAAAGUGUUUUUCUUCCAAAUAGCAGAUUACUUCAUCCUAAAGUCUUGAUAACCAUAAAUGUAAUCAGCUUUGCCACAAAUGUUUUCAAAAUGAAAUGCCUUUUUUUUUUUUGGUUGUCUUUUUUGCUUUGUUUUUUUAUCAGGGGAAAGUGGAGAGGAGAAGCAAUUGGUGGUGAGUUGAGGAACUGGUGUUUUCUGAGACACUGAGCAUUUCAUAGUCCAGAGAAAUUCACAAUUAGGUGAUAGAAUGUGCUCCCAGACCACUGUCACUUACACUGGGAACGUGAUGUCCUCCUGGGGAAUGUUGGGAAGGCACUUACAAAGCUAUUUUAAGAGGCGUUUGGAACUGUGAGAGGGCAGGGAAGUAUAGGAGAACAUGCCAGAAGCCUUGUUUGUAAAUACUGUAUUCUCUUUAGGGGCUACUCAAUGGCAAAAUCAAACAGAUGUUUUGCCAGACAAUAAAGCAGCUCAUCUUUACUUCCUAAGAGAAUUCCACACUCAGUGAAGAUCAAAACUUACAAUGAAAACAUUUUAAUGAAUCAUAGAAAAUCCGUUUUUCUGUUUGUUUGGUUGUUGGUUUUGUGUCUUUCCUGGUGUGAGCUCCCCAAGCUUACAGAUGAGCUGAUGCUACUAGUUGGUACCAGUAAUCCAUCAGAAGACAGACGAAACUUUGUCAGAGAAACUGUAUUUGAUAAAGCUGAAACCUAACUUGCUUCAAUCUUUUUAGAAAAUGUUUUAUUCAUCUUCAUAGAGACCCAAAGGAAAAAUAAUUUGGACAGGGAUGGCAAUUCUGUGACAGUUUAUCAUCCCUCCUUAGCAAUGGACCAAAGAGAGAAACAAAUAGGACGUCAAAAAUUUCCUCGUUUCCUGGUCUGUGACAACCCCAAAGAUUCCAAAGAGAGUUGGAGAAUAGCUUGCUUGCAAAAGUGAGCAGGUCUCACAUACUCCCUUCAACUCCAUCUCCUAAAAAGUAAUUUAAAUUUCAGGGGUAUCAUCUGUAUAGCCACAUAAAGAGGACAUUGUCCAUAUUUAAAACUGAGAAAUAUCCAUCAUUCAUAUCAGUAACAUUUUCAUCUUAUUAUUCUGCUUUUUAAACUUACAUUUCUGUCCACCUGCAGUAUUCAGUCAGUUGUAUACCAAGAACGUAUAAGUGCUUUAUAAGUGACAGAUAUUAAUGCACUAGAAAUGGUUAUUUAUUUAUUCUUCAACAUUUAUUUCUGCAGACUUAGUUACAUACAGGUACUAUACUAGACAUCUAGGAUACAAAGGUGAUUCAUCAUAAUUCUAGCCUUUACAGUCUGUCCUGAGAGAUUAGAUGAGGAAAAAACAAUGAUAUAUAAUACACAGGUGACAAAUCAGAGACAUUAAAACUCCUUGAAUCACAGGGAAAAAUUAGACUAACUCAGCUGGAUCUUGGUUUAAUAAAGCACUAGAGAGUCAAUGGGGUCUUACUGGAUUGAGGGGGGAAGAGGAAGAACUUAGCAGAAGAGGGUAGAGCAUGUACCAACACAUAGGAAUGGAAUAUUCAGAGUCCCGUACGUUAUUCUCAGUAGCUACAGCCUAGGGUGGUUUUGGGGAAAUGGAAAGGAAGGCUGAAACAUAGAUUAGGCCAAACUAUGAAAGAGUCAGUAUGGCAUCCAAAGGUCUAUACCUAUCCUGUUGGCUACCAUGAGCAAAAUCUGUCAUCGAAGGGAAACAUUUUAUGUUUAAAUCAUAUGCCCUACACCAUCCUAUUUCAUUUGACAUUUACCUAAAAAGGUAAUAAAAAAUCUGGGUAGAAUCAUAGGUAGAUUGUUAGAUUGGUCAAAUGGCAACAUCUAGCUUAUGAUGUCUGCCAAAAUCAUAGUACCUUGUGUUAAGGAAGUGGGUCCAUGAAAACACUGAGUGAUAGUUCUCUAGUUUUAUGUGACUUCUCCCCAUUCAUAACUUCAAAUGGUCUGGGCUUUGGGUAAACAGUAGGCUCAUUCAUAUGUGUACAGUAAAGCAAGUACCCAAAGCACUGAAAGAAGCCAAAAAUUUACACCAUUGCUUUCUGACUCCUCUUUGAGAAGAAGACUCAGAUUCUUGCCACUAGUGUACUUCAAAGUGUAAUUUCUUGUCGAUCUAAGGCAAGGUGUGUGAAACACAGUGCCUGGACAUCAUCUGGUAUGGAUUUAGGAAACUUGAUUUUAUGUAGUGGUUCUAAUUGAAAAAUUCUGAGCCAGGCACAGUGGCUCAUGUCUGUAAUCCCAGCACUUUGGGAGGCCAAGGCAGGUGGAGUAUUUAAGCCCAGGAGUUCAAGACCAGUCUGGGCAACAUAGGAAAACUCUUCUCUACAAAAAAUACAAAAAAAAAAUCUAGCCAGGUGUGGUGGUGCACACUUGUAGUCCUAGCUACCUGGGAGGCUGAGGGGGAGGAUCAUUUGAGCCCCCGGCAGGUCGAGGCUGCAGUGAGCUGUGAUUGCACCACUGCACACUACCCUGAGCAACAGAGUGAGACCCUGUCUCAAAAAGAAAAAAGAAAAUAAUAAUUCUAUAGCCCAUCAUGCCUCAAACAUACCUAGUGGAUUAGGUGUCUCGGUUGGGGUUUCAGAACGUAUGUCCACCACUUCAUCUUUCUGUAAGAUGUAGGCCAAAGGAUACAAUGUAGCAAAUAUGUAGUUGAACAAGUCAAAAGAUCUAAUGUACAGCAUGAGGACUAUGGUUAUUAACAGUGUAUUGUAUUCAGGCUUUUUAUGAGUAGAUUAUAGCUGCUCUUGCCAUAGGGGCAGUGAGACUGCAUAACUCUGUGAGAUGAUGGCUAUGUUAAUUUAUUCUACUAUACUAACCAUUUUAUUAUAUGUAUAUAUCUUAUAACAUCAUGUUGUAUAUCUUAAAUAUACACAAUAAAAUGUAUUUUUAAAAUGCUUUGCUUAAAAAACCUUUACAAUUUGCAAAGGAUUAAUGUAUCCAUCACCUUAUUCGCUUUUCACAAAAAAAAAUCCCACAAGAUAGUAACAACACAUUGAGGAAAUUUAGAAUUGUCAAUCUCUGGUGACUUGUCCAAGGUGACACAGCUUGAAUGAGAAUCCAGAUGGCCCAACUCUUAUACUCUUGGGUUUUUCAUCCUUCCUUACAGUGAUAAGGAUGAAAUCUCACUGUGCCAUUGCCUGAAAUACCCUGAGUGUCUGACAAAAGUUAACUGGCACCUCACCCACAAUUAAUUCUCCAGAGAAGUGAGUUAAGAGUGAUGAGUCUAAACUUGUCUCUUGAAUCAACUCACCCUCAAAGAACAGAUAAUUCAUUGUGAAACUCAAAACCUCACUGACCAUGCCUCAAAGAAUUAUUCCAUCUCCCUCCUAAGGAAACCAAGCGUUCUCUCAGAAAAGGAGAUAAAGAAAUUUCUGCUGCUGGAUCUCUGUGAAGCAGUUCCCCCUUUUGGGAAACUUAGGGUUUUAUAUAUUUUUAAAAUUUUACUUGAAAAUGUCUUGUGAUCAAAUGUGUCCCCAUUUUACAUUUGAAGAAACAGAUGUGAAGAGAAAAAGUUCUCUCUCCUGGGAGGCACUUUGAUGGCUACCUUUGAUUACCGAGAAAACCUCAGCUCGGGAAUCUUUGGGAAGGCAGAACUGGAGGAAAACUCUCUCUAGGAUUUUCAAAUCCUCAGGGUUGAACAUCAGCUUUCUCCUGUGAGCCCUGAGGGGAGCUCUCUGGGAUUUCCUGACAGACUCCACUUUCCUCAGGGCUGAAUUAACAAUUCCCAUUCUUUUUGCUUCCUUCCCCUGGCUCUGCCAGAUGUGUUACUUUGCCCUGCAAUAUUUAAACAGGAGAAUUUUACCUGGGAGCUGCCAUGCCCAUCGAGUCGUAGCUUAGUCCAUGGACCCCUAUCAUGAAACCUAAGAAAGGCCUUAUUGUCUUAAAAUAGAUAGGAGCCAAAUUCCCCUCUUCCCUGUGAUGUCUGCUAAACGUACAUGUCCUUGCCCAUUGCUGCACUGGGGAAAGGAGAGAUACCAUACUUCUAAGCACCUUUCUGAUUUAAUCCUUGCUUCAGCCUAUGGGAAGCAGUUGACCUGUUGUUGUUGGAAGCUGUGAGAAUUCAGCGAGAAAUAUUUUAGCAGGUUUUCAGAAAGGAAUUACAUAUGUGAAUAGGAAUAACAUUUUUCAAGUCACACCAAUCAUCAGCAUUCACCCUGUUGGGCAAAAGGUCUCUGUGGUGGGGAGUGAGUUUAAGAAAUGAGGGAUUAGCAUUUUCAGCUCAGGCUGUGUGUUGAUGAGCCCCGUGCCUCACGAUUUCCCUUAAUUUAACAUGGAGGAUGAUCUAUUUUAUGUCUUUCAGUGGGAAACCCUAAGAAGAGUUAUUCUUGUUAAUAAAACGAGUCAGGAACUGCAAAAAGAAUAUUGGCGUGCUUGUUCCAAUUAAAAGUAAUUACCAAUUCAAUCAUGCCUGUAAUCCCAGCACUUUGGGAGGCCAAGGCAGGCAGAUCACGAAGUCAGGAGAUCGAGACCAUCCUGGCUAACACGGUGAAACCCCUUCUCUACUAAAAAAUACAAAAAAAUUAGCCGGGCGUGGUGGCGGGCACCUGUAGUCCCAGCUUCUUGGGAGGCUGAGGCAGGAGAAUGGCAUGAACCCGGGAGGUGGAGCUUGCAGUGAGCCGAGAUCGCGCCACUGCACUCCAGCCUGGGCGACAGAGCGAGACUACAUCUCAAAAAAAAAAAAAAAAAAGUAAUUACCAUUUCAAAAAAGAACUUUUCUAUCAUGUAGCUCAAUUUGUACUGUCUCCAUUUCUUCCAGAAUUAUUGUUCUUGAGUGUUGGUGCAAAAUUCAGUAUUGGUGGAUAGGUGAUUUCUGAGAGAAGGGCUGGCAUUGUGAGGUUGCUUGCUCAGCCUUCACUGGAUGGCUGGUGCUUGGUGAGUGGCUCUAAGAGCACUGGGGGAACCACUUCUUAUGUAAGGGUCAUUUGACUUUGAGCUCCUCUUGAGCUAAGGAAGAGAACAAUCCCUUUAUACUGGUUAACAUUUACUGCUUUCCCAUUUUUUUCAUCUAUUGAUCCCUUUACAAUCUGGGUGAGGUGGGCAUUAUUACUGAUAUCCAAAUGAGGAACAAAAGUAUUUAAGGGUUUCCCAAUCUUAACUGAAAGUAUAAGACAGAACUAGGACACAAAUCAACUUUUCCAACUCAGAUGCACCACACCUUUCCACAAAGGGUGAUUCUCAGGACAUAACCCAAUCCUGAGGUUUCUUCAUUUCUAAAAUGUGUAAUACCAAUGCCUGCACUUACUUUGAAAAAUUACUCAAGAAUAACAAGAAAUAAAUUUGGAAACAUUUUGUAAACACAUAAAUGCUAUACAUAUGCGGUGUACUAAAAUGAUAAUCACUAUUUGCAAUGAUUUAGAUUCAGAUAGAACCUCCAACUCUAUUCAUUUGGUUUGUUUAGCUAUUGCGGACUGUUGUGGGAAUGUUGUUUUUUUCUCUAUGUUGAGUAUAUUUUAAAAUUAUGUUUAAAUUCGUUAGACUUAGUUAUUCCUGUUGGACUCAGAGAUAUUUCACAAAUAUAAAGCACAGACAGGCGACCUCAGCUGCCUCCUCUGUUGACUAGGAUUUUCCAGGGAGGAAUAGACUUCUCCCUGCUAUAGCACACCUUACCACAUUCAGCUGUUAUUAUUUUCUAUCCAUCUCCAGCAUGAACUUUACAAUUAAUUAUCCUACAUAUUUUUUUUCUAACCUGGGAUCCUAUGUCAAGGUUAUUGCCAAAUUAUCAAGGCAGCUGCUUCAAAACUGAGACAAUACAUUUCUGAUCUUGGGAAGAGUUAAGAAAUGUCUAGUAGUUUGCACUUAAAUAUGAUUUCUGACAGUUGUGACUUGUAUCCUGCUGAGAUAGAUUGGGAAGGUAACUAAAAUGUAAUCUAAGGAAAGGCGUGGGCACAUGGACUCCGAACUAUAACGUCACCAUUAACACUUUUUCAUGUCACUAACACAAAGCAUUGCACCGCUGUGUGUGUACUGCUAAGAAAAACGGAUGUGUUGAUCGUAUAUUCUGAGGGAAAAGCUAUCUGAAUAGAGAGGGUUCUGUGACCACUGGCUACCUUUCAAAUUAAGUAGUUUUCCUUUGCUGAAUUUCAAAAGAAUAUUUAGCACUCAAAAGAAAAUUGCCAUGUUCUGCAGUAGUGAACCUUGUGACUCAGAGGCAGAAAUAUGAGCAGACACAGUCUAUCAGGAGUGUUCUAGGGAGAAAACCCAAAAGACUGCCUUUAUCCUGACAGCCAGAAACCACCCGCUGAGCUCCAGUGAGUACUAAAACCCUAUCGUGGAGGCUUCUAGCCUGAAGAGGAUGCAGUGUGGUUUGCCCAAGUGAGGGAGGCUAUAUGAUUGAUGGUUCUAUCCAAAGACUGUUGCUAGUGAUUAAAACUGACUUUAUUAAAUACAUAUUAAAGUCCAAGUGUUUGUGUAUGUGUAUGUGUGAAUUUGUGUAUAUGGGUGUAUGUGUUUAUAUAUGUGUGUGUAUGUGUGGAUAUGUGUAUGUGUAUGUUUGUAUAUAUGUGUAUGUGUGUGUAUAUGUGUGUGGCAGGGAGGGAAUUCUUAAAUUUGUUGCUUCCUUCUGUUACAUUCACCCCUACUGUGUCUCCUUUCUUUCUCACCUUAUAAAUGCUCCACUAAUAGCUAAGUUCAGAAACUUUGAAUUUAUGUCUUUCAAAAUACACUUUUAAUCUUAACAUAGUUUUAGAGUUACAGAAAUAUUGCAAAGAUAUUUCAGAGAAUUCCCAUAUACCCAUCACCUAGUUUUCUCUGUUACUAAGAUCUUGCAUUCAUAUGAUAUAUUUGGCACAACAAACCAAUACUGAAACGUUAACUAAAGUUCAAACUUUAAUCAGAUUUCCUUAGUUUCUACCCAAUGUCCUCUUUCUGAUUGGUGUCCCAUCCAGAUGCCACAGUGAAUUUAGUCGCCAUGUCUCUUUCCUGAGGCUCCUGGAUACUGUGACAAUUUCUCAGACUUUCCUUGUUUUCAGUGACUUUGACAGCUUUGAAGAGUUCUGGCCAGAGGUUUUGAAGAAUAUUCUUAAAUGUUGGUUUGUCUGAUGUUUUUCUCUGGUUAGAAUGGGGUGAUGGGGUUUGGGGGAUGAGGACCACAGAAGAUCAAAGGUACAUGCUAUCAACAUGACUUAUUACUGAUGAUGUUAAGCUUGAUCACCUGGCCGAGAUAGCAUUUGCUGUGACUCACAUUUGAUUUGUCCCUCUCUUUAUCACACCCUUUUCAUGGCCUUCAAUGCAUAAUCUGCAACUUCUCACCUCCCCAGUCUCAUCUUGAACUGCUGUUUGCUUCAAUCAGCGUUUAGCUACACUUGUUUGCCUUUAUGUUUCUUGGACAUAACAUGCCCUUUUCUGCCUUAAGGCUUCUGCUUAGAGUAUAUGCCCUAUAUUUUUCCUUUUAUAUUAGCAUUUAAUCCAGCCACUUCCCCAUGCUAAGCAUAGCCAGCAUGUUAUUGUUGUUCAGUCUGAUUAUCUGCCGCUCCUCAGAAGUCCUUUCCCUGUGAAUCCAGUCUGAAAUAGUGGCUUUGAUUUAGGAGCCAUCUCAGCACCUUGUCUGUUUCCCUUCUAGAAUUUAAUGCAGUAAUUUAUCUAACUUUUACUUCAUGUUUUUGAUAACUCAGGAGAAGGCAGAAACAACAGCUGUCUAAUUUACCCCUGGGGCCUAGAAUAGUAUCUGUUACAUAGCAGGUAUUAACACUGGUUGAGUGGAUGGACCAAUCACAGUGUCUCAGAUACAAAGCAAGCUCGAAUUUGAAAGACAAGGAAAGAGGUGCUUGCACUGGAUACUUAUGAUGAUAAUUUCUAUUUAGGGAAAUCCUUUUUGCCAAAAUUAUUGACAGUUGGUGAAUUGUGCUUCCUUUAAUUUAUUUAACAUCAGUUAUUUUUCUUGCUUUGGUUGAUACAUGAAUUGAGAAUAAACUUUAAGAAGAUAGAAAGAACAAAAUUUAUUUUCUGUGACACACAAAGGAAAGCCAUUCUAUAAUUCUUCAAUGAGAUUGCAUUGGUCCCAAGUUACCUUCUCUGGGUUAUCAUACUUGGUGGUCUCUGAACAUCUAGAUAGAUAGUGCAAACCAGUAUACAAAGCUCAAGGACAAGAAAAAAAAAAUGAUUCAUGGGACGAGCAGAAUGAUGUUGAGUCUAAGUCUAAAAACAACCAAAGCAAACAAACAGGUGUUAAUGAGUUCAUUUGGGCCCAAGUUUGAUAAAGGGCUAAGUACAAAGACAAAGAAAGGUUACACAUAUUAAAAGAUAUCUUAAAAUGAUACCAAGGAAGAAAAAAUGAUAAAGUGCUCUUAUUAAAAGUUCUUUUUUUUUUUUUUUUGAUACAGGGUCUUGCUCUGUUGCCCAAGCUGGAGUGCAGUGGCACAAUCACAGCUCACUGCAACCUCUGCCCCCUGGGUUCCAUCGAUUCUCCUGCCUCAGCCUCCUGGGCAGCUGGGAUUACAGGCACAUGCCACCACGCCCGGCUAAUUUUUGUAUUUUUAGGAGAGACGGGAUUUCACCAUGUUGGCCAAGCUGGUCUCGAACUCCUGACCUCAGGUCUCCCAAAGUGCUGGGAUUACAGGCAUGAGCCACCACAUCCAGCCCUACUAAAGUUCUUUACAGUGAGGUUAGAUUCAGAGUGCAUGUCUCUUCUUUUCUGUAUCCUCUCUUCUCUUGUUCUCUCUCUCUUGUUCUUCUCUCUCUUGUUCUCUCUUCCUAAAGAGACAUGUCUCUCUCUCUUGUUCUUCUCAUUUCUUAAGGCUGCCAUUCCACUAACUGAUUUGAAGUUGCCAGCAGACUUCUGGGAAUAGACUGCUCCUUUCCUCACUACCCGCUUCCUGUCUUAGCUCCAUCCUUCCCUACUCUACUGGCCGUGGUACCCAAAUUUUCCCUAAUCCGGUGGUCUUUGUGGGCCUGCUUCCUUUUAGUUUGGGGAGGGGAACAGCAAGAUUUAUCUGAGAGGGCAGGAAGUGUCACCCUUCCAUUAUGCCCUAGCAAAUCUGGAAAGACUCGCUAGAACAGUCAAUGGCCUAAAUUAAAAUAAUCUUAGCAGUGGUUGAUAAUAAUGACAUAGUUGAGAUAAAUGGUACAAAUUCUUUCUUUCCUUUCACCAUUGGCACACCACUGAGGCCACUGAAUCAGCCUCUGAUGGUUAUCUAAGAUAACUUCCUCCUCACUAGAUUGCCCUCUGAUAGGAUUUUGACUUCAUUAAGACGUUGUACCUCAUAGCCUAAAUCUCCAAGGCUGCUGAAGAUCAUGGUUCCUGGCUUCAACCUUGAAGCCAGGUUGGUGGACCUCUGCCGUCCUUCAGUCUUCCAUAGAAGAAGGUGUUGACAUUUCAAGGAAGCCUUUUACCUGAUUAUGUAACCAGCUCAGCUUAAUUUCUAAGUGUUAUUAUGCUGAUAUACCACCUUUUUACAUGAGCAAAACAGGAGAUGUGUUGAGGGGCUGUGAAGACAUGGAAGCUCUAUCCUCUCUGAAAAAAAGAUGAUAGAUGGGGAGCAAAGGAAUACAUAAAAUGAUUAUAAAUGAACACUGGGCCUAAAACAUUCAUCUCCACAAAUAAUCCUCAUAUUUUAUUUUGCCCUUUGUUCUAUGUCUUCAAUUUCUUUUUCUAGCUUUAUGCUUCCUCUUCUCUUGGCUUUUGGUCAAAACAUUAUGCAUGUUUUCUCACCCUAGAAUCCUAGUAUUAUUCACCAAAAUCCUUUUUGACUCUUCUUAAUCCUAUCAUCAUCAGACUAUCCUCAGCUUGGAGGUGACAUCACUGCAUAUUAAUCAUCAUAUAAAAUCAUAGGAGAUUGUAAAGUACUUUAGAAUGAUAAAAACAGAAGCGUCUGAUCUCAAAAUGUCCUCUCAGACCACUCUAUGCACAAAUGAGAAAUCAUCACUAUCAUAAUGGAUAUAUAAAGGGUGACAUAUGAACAAAACCGAUCCCAAAUUCUACAUAGAAAAUAUAAUCUUAGUUAUCAUUUUGAAGAAAAUAUGGCAAAUUGUCACUUUAUAAUUUCUA